rnacentral:rRNA from 1 species
UACGUAGGGUGCGAGCGUUAAUCGGAAUACUGGGCGUAAAGCGUGCGCAGGCGGUUUUGUAAGCCAGAUGUGAAAGCCCCGGGCUUAACCUGGGAAUGGCAUUUGGGACUGCAAGGCUUGAGUGCGGCAGAGGAGACUGGAAUUCCUGGUGUAGCAGUGAAAUGCGUAGAUAUCAGGAGGAAUACCGAUGGCGAAGGCAGGUCUCUGGGCUGACACUGACGCUCAUGCACGAAAGCGUGGGGAGCAAACAGG